AAAAACUUAAUUCCUGAAUUUCCGUGUCUAACGUUUGAUUGUUCGUCUUAUUUUAAAAAAUUAUAAAAAAAUUUAAAAAGUAAGCCAUGUAUAAAGUAUUAUUCAUGUUUUAUCAUUUAACAAUAAUGAAAAUACUAAUUAUACAAAAAUUUUAUAUAAGACGGACGGUCAAACAUCAGACACGGAAACCUA
rnacentral:pre_miRNA from 1 species